GUUCAGCCGGGAGCAGAGCGAACCGCACCGGCCCGAGCGGAGCGCCGCACGUUCCCAACCGCGAGGCCAGACAUCUGACUGUUGGUGUGAGACCAGUGCUCCUGGUGGUGUGCCCUGAGCCAUGGAGGCGCCUUUGCAGACAGAGAUGGUGGAGCUGGUGCCCAAUGGCAAACACUCAGAGGGGCUGCUCCCGGUCAUCACCCCCAUGGCAGGCAACCAGAGGUCGAGGACCCUGCACGGAGCUGUAUGGAGGGCAAGAGCUUCCUACAGAAAAGUCCCAGCAAGGAGCCACACUUCACUGACUUCGAGGGGAAGACAUCAUUCGGGAUGUCAGUGUUCAACCUCAGCAAUGCCAUCAUGGGCAGCGGCAUCCUGGGACUCGCCUAUGCCAUGGCCAAUACGGGCAUUAUCCUUUUCCUGUGAGUGCCCUCAGAGAAACUUCUAAAGAUAGGGGCCCUAAGCAAGCCACCAAUCAUGACCUCCCAGGACCCGCCAGUUCCCUGUCCCAGCAUCCAGGCUGCAGUGGGUGGGCACUUCUUACACUAACAAACCGCGGCUGAAAAAA
rnacentral:lncRNA from 1 species